CCCACCGUCCGUGGAUCAGCUCGCAUUCCCUGAAUCUCUGGAUUCCGAACACCUCACUGUACGGCUGAAACGGCGUCGAUUUGGCGUCGGCAGCUUCCGUACGGGUUCCGAUCACGUCUCCGGCCAAGUUCUUCGCCAGAUUCUGGUCUAGUGAAUCGAUAUCGAAUUGGAGAUACUCGGCCGGUUUACCUAAACCAAAGGGAUCAAAACCGUAAUCUCCAACCAACGAACCAUCGAGCCAUUCAGGAGAAAUGGCGCCUGGGUACCAAAGAGGCCGGUCCGUAGUCACCGUCUUUUUG
rnacentral:lncRNA from 1 species